AUGGUCGCUGCUGCCCUGAGGAGGAUGAGGAAGCCCGCACAAGCAAAACUGCUGCCCGGGUCGGCCAUCCAAGCCCUUGCGGGGCUGGUGCAGCCGCUGGUUUUGGCGCUUGUGCUCCUGUCUGCCACUCUAUCCAGUGUUGUAUCACGGACUGAUUCACUGAGCCAAACUGUACUCAACUCAGUUAUUUCUACCCCAAAUGUGAAUGCUUUAACACAUGAAAAACAAACCAAACCUUCUAUUUCCCAAGUCAGUACCACCCUCCCUCCCACAACGAGUACUGAGAAAAGUGGAGGAGCAUCUGUGGCUCCUCAUCCCUCGCCUACACCUCUGUCUCAAGAGGAAGCUAAUAACAACGAAGAUCCUAGCAUAGAGAAGGGGGAUCUUCUCAUGCUGAACAGUUCUCCAUCCACAGCCAAAGACACUCUGGACAGUGGCGAUUACGGAGAACCAGACUAUGGCUGGACCACGGACCCCAGGGACAACGACGAGUCUGAUGACACCUUGGAAGUAAACAGGGAUUACAUGGAAAUUGAACAGUCAGUGAAAUCUUUUAAGAUGCCAUCCUCAAAUAUAAAAGAUGAAGACAGCCAUUUCUUUUUUCAUCUUAUUAAUUUUGCUUUUUGCAUUGCUAUUGUCUACAUUACAUAUCACAACAAAAGGAAGAUUUUUCUUCUGGUUCAAAGCAGGAAAUGGCGUGAUGGCCUUUGUUUCAAAACAGUGGAAUACCAUUGCCUAGAUCACAAUGUUAAUGAGGCAAUGUCUUCUUUGGCCGGCCCAGGCAAACUUGUUGCCGGGUCGGCCAUCCAAGCCCUUGCGGGGCUGGUGCAGCCGCUGGUUUUGGCGCUUGUGCUCCUGUCUGCCACUCUAUCCAGUGUUGUAUCACGGACUGAUUCACUGAGCCAAACUGUACUCAACUCAGUUAUUUCUACCCCAAAUGUGAAUGCUUUAACACAUGAAAAACAAACCAAACCUUCUAUUUCCCAAGUCAGUACCACCCUCCCUCCCACAACGACUACUGAGAAAAGUGGAGGAGCAUCUGUGGCUCCUCAUCCCUCGCCUACACCUCUGUCUCAAGAGGAAGCUGAUAACAAUGAAGAUCCUAGCAUAGAGAAGGGGGAUCUUCUCAUGCUGAACAGUUCUCCAUCCACAGCCAAAGACACUCUGGACAGUGGCGAUUACGGAGAACCAGACUAUGGCUGGACCACGGACCCCAGGGACAACGACGAGUCUGAUGACACCUUGGAAGUAAACAGGGAUUACAUGGAAAUUGAACAGUCAGUGAAAUCUUUUAAGAUGCCAUCCUCAAAUAUAAAAGAGGAAGACAGCCAUUUCUUUUUUCAUCUUAUUAAUUUUGCUUUUUGCAUUGCUAUUGUCUACAUUACAUAUCACAACAAAAGGAAGAUUUUUCUUCUGGUUCAAAGCAGGAAAUGGCGUGAUGGCCUUUGUUUCAAAACAGUGGAAUACCAUUGCCUAGAUCACAAUGUUAAUGAGGCAAUGUCUUCUUCGAAGAUUACCAAUAAUUAUAUUUUUUAAAGUCCUGUGAUUUGAGUUUGCUUAUUAUGUAAUUUUAUUUGCUUGACUUUUUAUAUGAUAUUGUGCAGAUGUUUGACAUAGGCAAUUGGUACUUAAAUGAGAGGUGGGUCUCUGUUUUGCCUUGGUGCUUUGGAAAUUAAAUGUCACAAACAAGAAGUAUAUAAUGUUUUAUCUGUACUUUUAGAGCUGAGUUUAAUCAGGUGUCCAAAAUGCGAGUUAAGCAUUACCUUAUAUUUACACUGUUAGUUUUUAUUGUUUUAGAUUUAUUGUGCUUCUUCUGGAAGUAUUAGUGAUGUUACUUUUAAAAGUUCCCAAACUUGUAACUAAAUUGUAACAUAUCUAUUACUGACUCAUAUUCAUUCUCUGCCAUUCAAAUACUAUUUUUUAACCACACAUUUUUUUGUGGUCCCAAACUGUAAUGUACAAGGAUAUGUGUGAUAAUGCUUUGCAUUUGAGUAAUAUUUUUUUUCCUUCCAAGAAAACUGCUUUGGAUAUUUUUAGAUAAUUUAAACAUAAUUUAGGAUAACGAUAUUGCUCAAUCUGACCACAAUUUUAGGUAAAACAUUAAAUGUGUCAAGAAAUCUUGCAACAUAGAUUCUGCAGUUUGCAGUGGACAUAGAUAAAAUGUUACAGAGAUACUAUUUUUUUGGUUUGAAUUACUAUAUUAAAUUUAGAAGUGGAAACUGUGGUAAAAUAUUACAUACAUGUACAGUUGUCUUUAGUUAGCAAUUGAUUGUAGCAUGGGUACCUCUAAGGUUUCAAGCAUUGAG